CAGUAGCCGCGGUAGUACGAAGGGGGCUAGCGUUGUUCGGAUUUACUGGGCGUAAAGGGUGCGUAGGCGGAUUGUUAAGUCAGGGGUGAAAUCCCGAGGCUCAACCUCGGAACUGCCUUUGAUACUGGCGAUCUUGAGUCCGGGAGAGGUGAGUGGAACUGCGAGUGUAGAGGUGAAAUUCGUAGAUAUUCGCAAGAACACCGGUGGCGAAGGCGGCUCACUGGCCCGGUACUGACGCUGAGGCACGAAAGCGUGGGGAGCAAACAGGAUUAGAUACCCCGGUAGUCCCUGUCUCUUAUAC
rnacentral:rRNA from 1 species